CCGGCCCCGGCAUUAAAUGCGAAACUUUCUUCUUAAUUAUCUGGCAUGCCGCUUAAUUCCCUAAUGGUAUUAAGUAAAGCGGAUUACGUGUUUAAAAUACGGCGUGAUUCGUAUACCGAAGUUACCAUUAAAGGUCAUGUGUACCGCAAACACGAGAACUCGUCAUUAGGCUUCUGUGCUUUUAUAGAGUUUGGAUUUUCACAUUUGAAUUUGGCGGUUUUUUUUUUAAUUGUCCAGCCCUACUAAUGACGUUUAUUAAUUGACAGUGGAUUUGGACUUCGCCGCCCAGCUCUACUGCUUGACAGAUCAUAUGUCAUUUGUCAUAAUAAACACCGAUAAAUAAAUCAAUAAUAUAAGUUCGCUUUUUAUCUGAUUUGUGCGGUCUAAGUCAUUAUUAUUCUAAACUUAUCCCAUGUUAACGAAUACCGUUGAAUAAAAUAUCAAUAAAUUCUAAACUACUGAUGGCAAUAAAUUCUUAUCUGCAUAUUUAUUCGAAACGUCUGCAUUCUUAUCUGAUCCGAACAGUAGGUACACGAGAACUUGAGUCUACUACCAUAUAAAUUUGAAGCGGUUUCUCACCUUUUUCGGCUUAAGAUUACCGAUGUCACUUCUCCGGCGCCAUGACAGUUGCGGCGGCCAUAUUUGUUUGAAAUUCCGAUGACGUGCCGUCAGAUGGCGCCUAUAAAGCACGCCAACUGUACACCGAAUUCAUGAAUGUCACUUUUGGCAAAGAUCCAAAGUCUGGCUGUUGCAACGUUCGAAGAAUUUUAAUACGACAAGGAAAACUAUCCGUACGUCUGGCCUCCUCUCGCUUGAUAGACGGGAUAAAAGGCUUCCUUGAAUACUUAAAUAGAAUGAUACUUUUAAUCAGAAGCGUCUGCUCGGAUUUUAACGUCGCGCCGACUUAUAAUAAUUGGUUCAAUAAAGGACUUUUAUUCGAAUGUUUUUUUUUGUUGAUUUAUUACCAACCCUAGGAAAAAAAACCCUAAAUAGUGAGGACAUGCGCACCGCAAAUGUUCCCCUCCCUGGGAAUGGAAAUAAAUACCAUAUGGACCAUAAAAAUUACAAUAAACAUACCGCAGUUACGAAACUGGGUAAUUAACGUGGAACAAUACGAUCUAAAUGCUUGUUUGCGCUCAA